rnacentral:rRNA from 1 species
AGGUUGCCUURGUAGCGGCGAGUGAAGCGGCAAAAGCUCAAAUUUGAAAUCUGGCGCCUUCGGUGUCCGAGUUGUAAUUUGAAGAUUGUAACCUUGGGGUUGGCUCUYGUCUAUGUUUCUUGGAACAGGACGUCACAGAGGGUGAGARUCCCGUGCGAUGAGAUGCCCAAUUCUAUGUAAGGUGCUUUCGAAGAGUCGAGUUGUUUGGGAAUGCAGCUCUAAGUGGGUGGUAAAUUCCAUCUAAAGCUAAAUAUUGGCGAGAGACCGAUAGCGAACAAGUACAGUGAUGGAAAGAUGAAAAGAACUUUGAAAAGAGAGUGAAAAAGUACGUGAAAUUGUUGAAAGGGAAGGGUUUGAGAUCAGACUCGAUAUUUUGUGASCCUUGCCUUCGKGGCGGGGUGACCCGCASCUUAUSGGGCCAGCMUCKGUUUGGGCGGUAGGAUAAUGGSGUAGGAAUGUGACUUUACUUCGSUGAAGUGUUAUAGCCUGMRUUGAUGCUKCCUGCYUAGACCGAGGACUGCGAUUUUAUCAARGAUGCUGCAWUGAWGAA